AGCCAUUAACGCACCGCAUAGAUUUUGUUUUCAACUGUUGGUAACAUUGCAAAUGCUAAUAGUCGAUGGUUUUUAUUCGUACUGUGUACAUAACAUAACCAAACUUUUCUAACUAAAAUUGCACAACGAAAGCUUUAAUCAUAAUAAAGUAAAUACAACAAACUUAGAUUUCGUCCUUAUCUGCGUAAUUAAAUGUACAAUUAUUGUACACUUUGACGGUAACAGCUCCAUCAUGUGUAAUGACUUUGAUACCAGCACUGGGAACGGCACUUUCUACAUGUGUUGAUGUACAUCCUUGUGCAAGAAUCCCAUGUAAUGAUGAGGAUGAUUUACUUGCUUGGGCAAGAGUUCCUGCAACUUCCACUUUUCGUUGAACCUACGUUUCAAUAUAUCCUUCGGCAACCGCGGAGGACUUCCACCCGCCAUGUCGUUUAAUGGUGACCAAGUCACUACCGCUGUUAGCUAAAUGUGAGACACUUGAACGCCGGAAACAGUGCCCAGUGUAUUGUGCCGGAUUGGCUAAUUGUAGAAACUCUGCAAUCUUUCGUGGCGUCUUGCCCAUUGUAUUGAUUCCGAUCGAAGUAGUAAUGCAGCGACCACUACGGCACCGAUACAACAACAAUAUCAUUUUUAUAUUGGAUGUCGCCCAGUGCCAUAUUAGUCAGCUCCUCGCGUCUGCAUGCCCCACUGUAGCCCAUUAUUAAAAUAACCUACAACGAGAAUACAAACAAGAUACUCCUGUAGCUAGUACCUA